UUUUUUUCAAUGGGGUCCUUUUUUAUCUUUUUUUAUCUUUACCUACUGUUUACUAUUGACGACAUAACCAACACACGUGUGUUUUCCUCUGUUGAUCAGUGGCUUCAAAAAUGGCACAUCAUCGGGUUGGACGAUACGUGUUGUGCCUCCAUUCUUCUUCAUCAUGAUGUUGCCUCCCCCACCCAAUUACACCAUCAAUCGAGUCCAAGAUAAACACACACGCACACUUCUAGCUUCCUCCAUCAUUUCACUACCUCUCUCAGCAAAACAGUUCUAUGCUGUUAUUGGUGGAUUUUUUUUCAAUGGGGUCCUUUUUUUUAUCUUUUUUAUCUUUACCUAUUGUUUACUAUUGACGGGAUAACCAACACACGUGUGUUUUCCUCUGUUGAUCAGUGGCUUCAAAAAUGACACAUCAUCGGGUUGGACGAUAUGUGUUGUGCCUCCAUUCUUCUUCAUCAUGAUGCUGCCUCCCCCACCCAAUUACACCGUCAAUCGUGUCCAAGAUAAACACACACGUACGCACACUUCCAGCUUCCUCCAUCAUUUCACUACCUCUCUCAGCAAAACAGUUCUAUGUUGUUAUUGGUGGAUUUUUUUUCAAUGGGGUCCUUUUUUAUCUUUUUUUUAUCUUUACCUAUUGUUUACUAUUGACGGGAUAACCCACACACAUGUGUUUUCCUCUGUUGAUCAGUAGCUUCAAAAAUGACACAUCAUCGGGUUGGACGAUACGUGUUGUGCCUCCAUUCUUCUUCAUCAUGACGCUGCCUCCCCCACCCAAUUACAUCGUCAGUUGAGUCCAAGAUAAACACACACACAAUUCCAGCUUCCUCCAUCAUUUCACUACCUCUCUCAGCAAAACACGAAGCCACCGAUACUACCUAUGGUGGUCUCUCUCAUUUGUGUGCUUUAUUUAUCAUAUCCUCCCCCUUUCUCUCUCUCAAAUGCGAUUCAUGAAGCCACAGUCUGUCAUAUCUCUCUGCUCACUCUGGCAUACGAAAUCAGGUAGCCACCCAACCACCUUUGACGGUAUUUCUGAGCGCUCUUUUGGUGCUCCGAUCUAUACUGCUCUCUUCCCGUUUUGUUGACUCCAGUAAGAAGUAACCGUCUCUCUCCCUUGUUCCUUAAUUUAUGUCAAAGACACACUCCCAUACUCCAUUUAUGAAUUUGUCAACUGAAUAAAACCUCAAGUGUCGUUUUCAAAUGUCAAAAUUGGAAUCAUUUUCCCCAUAUAGUCGGAUUAGAUUUACCUUUUUCACAAUCCAUUCCUAUAUAGAAUCUGUAACUCGAACGAACUUUUGAUUAUUUGGAAUUAACAAUUGGUUCUUGGAGUGUUAUUGUAGGAUAUGAAAAUUUGAAGUUGAUUUGGUUUCUCUUACUUGCUGGUUGUGGAUUGAACUGCUUAUAAAGUUGAACCCUAUGAGAUACAUGCCUAUAAGGCAUUCGAUGAAAUGUCAAAGCCAAUUAAGGAUAUUGCAUUUAAUCUAUCUCAUAAGCAUGAAAGAAACAAACUUUGGAGGAAAAGAAAAAGACAACGAAUAAGUGAAAUGCUUGCAAAGGUAAUAGUGAUUCCUCUAAUUUUAAUUUCAUUUUUUUCCUAUUUUUUAAAAUUCACUUCUUACAAGGAACUCAAUCAAUUAGAGAAAGAUGAUCGAGAAAAAGGAGAUUGCAAAGCGAAGGGUAAUAUUGGAAUUUGAGAGUAAUAGUUAACUUAAGAUUCAAAAUCUAAAUCUUAACCUUUAUACAAUUAUGUCAUUAUAAUCUUAAAUAAGUGGCUGAAAUUAGAACAUUUGAUCAAGGAUUUUGUUGUUGUUGGUUCGGAUGCAAGGUACAUUUUUCAUUCAACUCUCUUUUUAAAAGACUAUCAUACCCCUACUUCUUUUUUGUUGUCCAAAAUUUCCAUCAGAAUAGGGACAUACUUUUGGAAAUGAACAUGAUUAAGCCAAAUUACGAUGAUUUUUUCAGUCGAAGUUGAGUUGAUGCGUCAUCCAGGAAAACAUACUGGCAAAUUGUUUUGUGUGUUUUUUUUUUGUGUUCAUCGAUAUCACCUAACGUGGCUUGCUUACUGUUAUUGAACUAUGAUAGAAUAACAAAAGAAAAGGGAGAUUGGAGUUUUUACUGCAACAAAAACAACCAUUUGCUCAUUUUGCCAAAAGUAACGCAUCUUGAAAAAAAGGAAAUAGAUAGAUUGUAUAUCUUGGUGACUCCAUUAUCCAAGAUAUAUGAGCUGCAGGACCUGCAUCUUCAUGUGCAUGUAAUUAUGUUAAGGAUGUGGAAGAAUAAUUGGCGAAAUUACAGGGAGGGGUAACUUUGUUGAGCCGAAAAGUAGCUGACAAAACUUUUCCAGAUGCAAUCAGUCAUUGGAGAAAAAAGAAACAAAAUGUUUAAAGAUGUGUAGGAUAUUAUUACUGAAAAUUCACCCAAAAACUCAAACUAAUUCAAGGUUUUGUAUCUGUAAAAAGAUAUAAACAAUACCCUUUUGUGGUAGAUGUGAAUAUUAUUUAUUAA